CAAGCCUGAUCCAGCCAUGCCGCGUGAGUGAUGAAGGCCUUAGGGUUGUAAAGCUCUUUCACCGGAGAAGAUAAUGACGGUAUCCGGAGAAGAAGCCCCGGCUAACUUCGUGCCAGCAGCCGCGGUAAU
rnacentral:rRNA from 1 species